UAGAGGAAGUAAAAGUCGUAACAAGGUUUCCGUAGGUGAACCUGCGGAAGGAUCAUUAAAAGUGCUACCAAACAUCCCUAAUUCUUUAACCAAAGGUUAGGGACUAUGGUUAAAGCCCCACCCGUGAAUACUGUACCUUUUAGUUGCUUUGGCGGGCCCGUUACCCAGUAACCGCCGGGGGUUUUAGUUAACCUCGGGCCCGUGUCCGCCAAUGGAAAAUUGAACUUCUAGAAUAUUAUUGACUGUCUGAGUGAUUAAACAAUCAUUAAAACUUUCAACAACGGAUCUCUUGGUUCCGGCAUCGAUGAAGAACGCAGCGAAAUGCGAUAAGUAAUGUGAAUUGCAGAAUUCCGUGAAUCAUCGAAUCUUUGAACGCACAUUGCGCCCUCUGGUAUUCCGGGGGGCAUGCCUGUCCGAGCGUCAUUGCAACCUUCAAGCACGGCUUGUGUGAUGGGCUUUGUCUGUUUAAUAAUUAAGGGACAAGCCUAAAAUGCAGUGGCGGUGUUUAAUUAAGCCUGAGUAAAUUGGAAUUAACUUAUCUGCUCAAAAGGAUCAAUUAAACACCUGUCAAAUCAACUAAAUUUUCUUUGGUUGACCUCGGAUCAGGUAGGAAUACCCGCUGAACUUAAGCAUAUCA
rnacentral:rRNA from 1 species